AAGUCGAGGGGAAACGACAUCGAAAGCUUGCUUUUGAUGGGCGUCGACCGGCGCACGGGUGAGUAACGCGUAUCCAACCUGCCCAUCACUUGGGGAUAACCUUGCGAAAGUAAGACUAAUACCCCAUGGUCUCCACGGAUGGCAUCUGAAAUGGAGUAAAGGUUUCGGCCGGUUGCGGAUGGGGAUGCGUCCGAUUAGCUUGACGGCGGGGUAACGGCCCACCGUGGCAUCGAUCGGUAGGGGUUCUGAGAGGAAGGUCCCCACAUUGGGACUGAGACACGGCCCAGACUCC
rnacentral:rRNA from 1 species